AGAGUUAAAUAGUACGUGAAAUUGUUGAAAGGGAAACGAUUGAAGCCAGUCGUACCUGCGGGUAAUCAGCCUUUUGGGUGUGAUUAUGUGGAGCGUGUGGAGUUUAAUCACCCUCAUCUUUGCAUAUUCGUGCACUUUGGGUGUACUUGCUCGUGUGGUAGGUUAACAUCAAUUUUGAUCAUCAUAAAAUGAUUAGAGGAAUGUAGCUUCGAUCUCGUAUUGAAGUGUUAUAGCCUUUGGUAGAUGUGAUGAUUGGGAUUGAGGAUUGCAACGGAUACCCUUUGGGCUACCUGUCUGAUCUCUGAAAGUUGCUCUGGUGCUGAAAGCUUGCUUAUGGUAUCAAAGUUGACGUUCAAUAGGUUAGAACGGGAUAAAUUCGUUAAGGAUGUUGACGUAAUGGCUUUAAACGA
rnacentral:misc_RNA from 1 species